GGGGCUGGGAUGGAGUGUGUUGUGUGUAUGUGCAGGAGAGAGAGUGGGUUUUUGGGGUGCUGAGAGUGAGUCAGCACUGUCUUGUGAGUUCAGACCCCUGCUCCUUCCCAGCCUCUCUCUCACUCACUCACUCAAAGCAAACAUUAGCUGUUUGUUUUUUCCCUUGGAGCAGAAAAGCAGUUUGAAAGGGCCACUUCCGCAUUCCUCCCGAGUUCACAACAAAGACAAGAGAGGCCACUUCAGUUAAUGGGAUUAUGGGACGUUUCCGGAGGGCAAUCAGAGCGCUGUAACUGUAACUCCUCGUUUACACUGGAGCUGCAGCGUCUCACCCAAUACACAACAGCCGUUAAUCCUCUUGGGGAGGUGGAGUACCAGGAGCGCUCCAGCCAGGGAGUUAGACUGCUCUACGUGCCUUGUCAGUGUGGACGGGGAGUAAGGUCUCCCAGUGCCAAGUGGGCCGAGUGGGAUGUAGUUCUGUCAGGAGGGCGACUGCUGCUCCGGUGGGCUCACAGGACAACAUUCUGGGGAGCGGUUUAAGAGAGAGAUCCUCCCUCCACCAGACACCUCCCAACCCUAUUCCCUGUCUCCUCCUCUUCCCAGGUCAGCAUGGACUGACCAUAGGCUGAGAACCACUGCCAGUGGGAUCAAAGAGCCAUGGGCCUCCUAAGGCCUGGCUGCCUCCAGCCUCCAAAGCACCAGUGAAUAAGAACAAGGCAGAGGCAGGGUUCAAGCUGUCUGUCGGCGUUAGGUCUGGACCAGCUACCCUGGCACUGGAGGGCGGGAGCUGCUCUGCACCUUCUGGGGAAUGCUGUGCUCACCUGUGCAAUUAACAGCCCGUGAUUCUUGAA